GUCUUUAUCCUCUCACGCGGAUAAGACACGUUUUAAACUAUUUUAAAAGAGAUAGGGAGCUGGGGCGUGCGUAGAAAAAUUUUGAGAAAGAAAGUGGGGCAUGAGGAAGCCUUGUGCAUGAGGUGAAGGUCCAAAACCUUCCGAGAGAAAAAGAAAGAAAAGAAAGAAAAUUGGGCGCAGGGUUUUUGGUGUGUACCCUAGGAUUUCUAUCUAGGGUUCGGGAAGUG
rnacentral:lncRNA from 1 species